rnacentral:rRNA from 1 species
GACGAACGCUGGCGGCGUGCUUAACACAUGCAAGUCGAACGGAAAGGCCCCGCUUUUGUGGGGUGCUCGAGUGGCGAACGGGUGAGUAACACUUGAGUAACCUGCCCUUGACUUUGGGAUAACUUCAGGAAACUGGGGCUAAUACCGGAUAGGAGUUCCUGCUGCUUGGUGGGGGUUGGAAAGUUUCGGCGGUUGGGGAUGGACUCGCGGCUUAUCAGCUUGUUGGUGGGGUAGUGGAUUACCAAGGCUUUGACGGGUAGCGGGCCUGAGAGGGUGACCGGACAAAUUAGGACUGGAAUGAGGCCCAGACUCCUACCGGAGGCAGCAGUGGGGAAUAGUGCACAAUGGGCGGAAGCAUGAUGCAGCAACGCCGCGUGGGGGAUGACGGCAUUCGGGUAGUAAACCGCUUUCGCCUGUGACGAAGCGUGAGUGACGGUAAUGGGUAAAGAAGCACCGGCUAACUACGUG